UCCCUGGUGGUCUAGUGGUUAGGAUUCGGCACUUACACUGCUGCGGCCUGGGUUUAAUCCCUGGUCUGGGAA
rfam:Sus scrofa isolate TJ Tabasco breed Duroc chromosome 12, whole genome shotgun sequence.